UCCUGCUAGAGGACUGAUCUAAAAGGGCCGAUUGACUGGACUCAAGUUCUCUUCACACCAGAUGGGAAUGAGGUUGAUAAACCAACCACUUGGCUGAUGCAGGGUGCAGGUCUUUAUGCCUUUGUUUGUGGGAGUGGGGAGCUCAUCUCUUCAAGCUACAACCCUGUUCACACACCUGGUGCAAGUGCUUUGUGAUCCUGU